UCGAGCGAACAGAUAAGGAGCUUGCUCCUUUGACGUUAGCGGCGGACGGGUGAGUAACACGUGGGUAACCUACCUAUAAGACUGGGAUAACUUCGGGAAACCGGAGCUAAUACCGGAUAACAUUUGGAACCGCAUGGUUCUAAAGUGAAAGAUGGUUUUGCUAUCACUUAUAGAUGGACCCGCGCCGUAUUAGCUAGUUGGUAAGGUAACGGCUUACCAAGGCAACGAUACGUAGCCGACCUGAGAGGGUGAUCGGCCACACUGGAACUGAGACACGGUCCAGACUCCUACGGGAGGCAGCAGUAGGGAAUCUUCCGCAAUGGGCGAAAGCCUGACGGAGCAACGCCGCGUGAGUGAUGAAGGGUUUCGGCUCGUAAAACUCUGUUAUUAGGGAAGAACAAAUGUGUAAGUAACUGUGCACAUCUUGACGGUACCUAAUCAGAAAGCCACGGCUAACUACGUGCCAGCAGCCGCGGUAAUACGUAGGUGGCAAGCGUUAUCCGGAAUUAUUGGGCGUAAAGCGCGCGUAGGCGGUUUCUUAAGUCUGAUGUGAAAGCCCACGGCUCAACCGUGGAGGGUCAUUGGAAACUGGGAAACUUGAGUGCAGAAGAGGAAAGUGGAAUUCCAUGUGUAGCGGUGAAAUGCGCAGAGAUAUGGAGGAACACCAGUGGCGAAGGCGACUUUCUGGUCUGUAACUGACGCUGAUGUGCGAAAGCGUGGGGAUCAAACAGGAUUAGAUACCCUGGUAGUCCACGCCGUAAACGAUGAGUGCUAAGUGUUAGGGGGUUUCCGCCCCUUAGUGCUGCAGCUAACGCAUUAAGCACUCCGCCUGGGGAGUACGACCGCAAGGUUGAAACUCAAAGGAAUUGACGGGGACCCGCACAAGCGGUGGAGCAUGUGGUUUAAUUCGAAGCAACGCGAAGAACCUUACCAAAUCUUGACAUCCUUUGAAAACUCUAGAGAUAGAGCCUUCCCCUUCGGGGGACAAAGUGACAGGUGGUGCAUGGUUGUCGUCAGCUCGUGUCGUGAGAUGUUGGGUUAAGUCCCGCAACGAGCGCAACCCUUAAGCUUAGUUGCCAUCAUUAAGUUGGGCACUCUAGGUUGACUGCCGGUGACAAACCGGAGGAAGGUGGGGAUGACGUCAAAUCAUCAUGCCCCUUAUGAUUUGGGCUACACACGUGCUACAAUGGACAAUACAAAGGGCAGCUAAACCGCGAGGUCAUGCAAAUCCCAUAAAGUUGUUCUCAGUUCGGAUUGUAGUCUGCAACUCGACUACAUGAAGCUGGAAUCGCUAGUAAUCGUAGAUCAGCAUGCUACGGUGAAUACGUUCCCGGGUCUUGUACACACCGCCCGUCACACCAGCGAGAGUUUGUAACACCCGAAGCC
rnacentral:rRNA from 1 species